rnacentral:rRNA from 1 species
GACGAACGCUGGCGGCGUGCUUAACACAUGCAAGUCGAACGGAAAGGCCCUGCUUUUGUGGGGUUCUCGAGUGGCGAACGGGUGAGUAACACGUGAGUAACCUGCCCUUGACUUUGGGAUAACUUCAGGAAACUGGGGCUAAUACCGGAUAGGAGCUCCUGCUGCAUGGUGGGGGUUGGAAAGUUUCGGCGGUUGGAGAUGGACUCGCGGCUUAUCAGCUUGUUGGUGGGGUAGUGGCUUACCAAGGCUUUGACGGGUAGCCGUCCUGAGAGGGUGACCGGCCACAAUGCGACUGCGAUAGGGAGCAGACUGCUACGGGAGGCAGCAGUGGGGAAUAUCGCACAAUGGGCGGAAGCCUGAUGCAGAAACGCUGCGUGCGGGAUGACCGCUUUCGGGUUGUAAACCGCGUUAGCCUGUGACGAAGCGUGAGUGACGGUAAUGGGUAAAGAAGCACCGGCUAACUACGUG